UCAAUUUGAUGCCUGUUCAGUCAACGUCUUCCAUUUUGUUGCGGCUGGAGAACCUCCAACAGAAGUUAAGCAAAGUUCAACAGUAAAGCACAGUCUUCAUGGUGCACAGUUCUGUUCUGACAAGACAUAAUCAUAUAAUCACCACCAGAACCAAGUGUGAAGAGGAAAAGUAAAACCAGCAGCAAGAAGACUAUAGAGACCCAGCUGUGAGAAGACAGCGGCCCAUUCACUACAGUGGCUCUGGGUUCUGGCCUCUGGACUCAUGACUGGACCAAGCCCUCCAGGAAUCACUUUCUCUCCCCUCUCUCGUUCCCUGAUGA